rnacentral:rRNA from 1 species
AGUCGCCGCGGUAAUACAGAGGGUGCGAGCGUUAAUCGGAUUUACUGGGCGUAAAGCGUGCGUAGGCGGCUUCUUAAGUCGGAUGUGAAAUCCCUGAGCUUAACUUAGGAAUUGCAUUCGAUACUGGGAAGCUAGAGUAUGGGAGAGGAUGGUAGAAUUCCAGGUGUAGCGGUGAAAUGCGUAGAGAUCUGGAGGAAUACCGAUGGCGAAGGCAGCCAUCUGGCCUAAUACUGACGCUGAGGUACGAAAGCAUGGGGAGCAAACAGGAUUAGAUACCCCAGUAGUCCCUGUCUCUUAUACC